GAUGAACGCUAGCGGCAGGCCUAACACAUGCAAGUCGAGGGAGAGGUUACCUUCGGGUAACCAAAACCGGCGCACGGGUGCGUAACGCGUAUACAAUCUGCCUUUCACAUAGGGAUAGCCCGAAGAAAUUUGGAUUAAUACCUAAUGGUAUAUAAGAGCGGCAUCGUUUUUAUAUUAAAGCUACGGUGGUGAAAGAUGAGUAUGCGUUCUAUUAGCUAGUUGGAGAGGUAACGGCUCCCCAAGGCGACGAUAGAUAGGGGUUCUGAGAGGGAUGUCCCCCACACUGGUACUGAGAUACGGACCAGACUCCUACGGGAGGCAGCAGUGAGGAAUAUUGGACAAUGGUCGGAAGACUGAUCCAGCCAUGCCGCGUGCAGGAUGAAGGUCCUAUGGAUGGUAAACUGCUUUUGGAAGGGAAGAAUAAGGAGUACGUGUACUUUGAUGACGGUACCUUACGAAUAAGCAUCGGCUAACUCCGUG
rnacentral:rRNA from 1 species